rnacentral:rRNA from 1 species
AUUGAACGCUGGCGGCAUGCUUUACACAUGCAAGUCGAACGGUAACAGGCCGCAAGGUGCUGACGAGUGGCGAACGGGUGAGUAAUGCAUCGGAACGUGCCCAGUCGUGGGGGAUAACGCAGCGAAAGCUGCGCUAAUACCGCAUACGAUCUAUGGAUGAAAGCGGGGGACCGUAAGGCCUCGCGCGAUUGGAGCGGCCGAUGUCCGAUUAGGUAGAUGGUGGGGUAAAGGCUCACCAAGCCAACGAUCUGUAGCUGGUCUGAGAGGACGACCAGCCACACUGGGACUGAGAACCGGCCCAGACUACUACGGGAGGCAGCAGUGGGGAAUUGUGGACAAUGGGCGCAAGCCUGAUCCAGCAAUGCCGCGUGCAGGAAGAAGGCAUUCGGGUUGUAAACUGCUUGUGUACGGAACGAAACGGUCCUGGUUAAUCCCCGGGGCUAAUGACGGUACCGUAAGAAUAAGCACCGGCUAACUACGUGCCAGCCGCCGCGGUAAAAC